rnacentral:rRNA from 1 species
UACCAGCACCCCGAGUGGUCGGGACGAUUAUUGGGCCUAAAGCAUCCGUAGCCGGCCUUACAAGUCCCCCGUUAAAUCCAACUGCUUAACAGAUGGGCUGCGGAGGAUACUAUAAGACUAGGAGGCAGGAGAGGCAAGCGGUACUCAGUGGGUAGGGGUAAAAUCCGUUGAUCCAUUGAAGACCACCAGUGGCGAAGGCGGCGACCUGGGACAAUACUGACACUGAGGUGCGAAAGCGUGGGGAGCAAACAGG